AACGCACAUUGCGCCCGCCAGUAUUCUGGCGGGCAUGCCUGUUCGAGCGUCAUUUCAACCCUCAGGCCCCCGGGUCUGGCGUUGGGGAUCGGCGGAAGCCCCCUGUGGGCACAACGCCGUCCCCCAAAUACAGUGGCGGUCCCGCCGCAGCUUCCAUUGCGUAGUAGCUAACACCUCGCAACUGGAGAGCGGCGCGGCCACGCCGUAAAACACCCAACUUCUGAAUGUUGACCUCGAAUCAGGUAGGAAUACCCGCUGAACUUAA
rnacentral:misc_RNA from 1 species